AGGAGUCCACANUUGAGCAAGUCGAAGGGCUGUUACAAACCCGGAGGCGAAAAGAAAUUAAAGGCCGACCGUCAGGUCGCGCCGGUGGGACGAUGUGUUCGUUUGCUCGAACGCCGCAGUCCCGAGGCGUCUCGCCUUCUCAUUGCGAGAUGAGGCGCCCUCCGAGCGCAUGCGCUAGGACCCGAAAGAUGGUGAACUAUGCCUGGCAAGGGCGAAGUCAGGGGAAACCCUGAUGGAGGCCUGUAGCGCUUCUGACGUGCAAAUCGAUCGUCUAAGCUGGGUAUAGGGGCGAAAGACUAAUCGAACCAUCUAGUAGCUGGUUCCCUCCGAAGUUUCCCUCAGGAUAGCUGGCGCAGGCGUGAGUCUCAUGCGGUAAAGCGAAUGAUUAGAGGUAUUGGGGUCGAAACGAUCUCAACCUAUUCUCAAACUUUCAAUGCGUGAGAAAAUCGGCUUGCUUAAUCGAAGCCGAUUACAUAGAUCAUGCGCGCCUAGUGGGCCAUUUUUGGUAAGCAGAACCGGCGAUGUGGGAUGAACCAAACGCAGAGUUAAAGUGCCUAAGUCGACGCUCAUGGGACACCAUAAAAGGCGUUAGUAACUUAAGACAGCAGGACGGUGGCCAUGGAAGUC
rnacentral:rRNA from 1 species